rnacentral:rRNA from 1 species
GUGCCUAAUACAUGCAAGUCGAGCGAGCUGACCCAAUAGAUCUCUUCGGAGUGACAUUGGUAAAGCUAGCGGCGGAUGGGUGAGUAACACGUGGGUAACCUGCCCACCAGUCUGGGAUACCACUUGGAAACAGGUGCUAAUACCGGAUAACAACAAUAGUCGCAUGACUAAAGUUUGAAAGGCGGCGUAAGCUGUCGCUGAUGGAUGGACCCGCGGUGCAUUAGCUAGUUGGUGAGGUAAUAGCUCACCAAGGCGACGAUGCAUAGCCGAGUUGAGAGACUGAUCGGCCACAUUGGGACUGAGACACGGCCCAAACUCCUACGGGAGGCAGCAGUAGGGAAUCUUCCACAAUGGACGCAAGUCUGAUGGAGCAACGCCGCGUGAGUGAAGAAGGUUUUCGGAUCGUAAAGCUCUGUUGUUGGUGAAGAAGGAUAGAGGUAGUAAC